CCCCUCAGAACCUGCUUUCCCCCACUCCCGUACCAGAGGACAGAAGGCAAGCUGCUUUCCUUCCCCUAGGGUUUCGGGUUCCGGCGCCGCUACCGGCAGCUUGCCUCUCGUCGCUCCCGGCGGUGCCGCUCCGAUGACCCCCUCGAUUCGCCCCGACACCAGCUCCGGCAGCAGCUCCGCACUAAGCCACGUCGCGUCGCGCCGCAGUAUCAUCCUCUCCACCCCAGCGGACAGCCGCCAUCCCCGACGAGACACCUCCGGUGCCCAAGUUACGUCUAUGGAUUCGAUUAGGAUCUUGGCCGUACCCAAUUGACGAGGAAGCUAGCAAAAUCAAUGUCACGAUUUAUCUGUUGGCUUGGGCAUCCGCUGGACUUGAGUGCCUCUUGGCAACGUUCUUCUUGUUAGUCCUGUGGGUAGAGAGGCCAGUGCCCCACAGGCACCUUCGGGUUUGUGCUAUAUUACUUUACGCUGAAUGGCUGAUUGCUCUUCAAACUGUGGGCACUGGUUCUGCUUCUAUUCUGGUCACCAUAAUUGCAGUGAAGAACAACAUCCAUGUGCUUCAAUACAAAGAGACAUUGCAGUAUGCAAUACUGGUUCUGAUAGCAGGUGUGUCUGCUAUAGUUUCUUCUUUCGUUAAUGUUAUUGUUGCAAAAAAUUUGCGCCAUCCACCCCCACCCCCCGCCAACAACCAGCAGUGAUCACCAUUUCGUCCAUCCUAUCUAAUGAGGAAGAGAGAGACAACUAGAAGAAGGGCUGUUAAAAAUUGGAACAAUCGUGGAAGUUUUUAGCAAAGUGGGGUAGAACUUCAGGAAUAGAAUCAAGAGAUUGUCCU